rnacentral:rRNA from 1 species
AUUGAACGCUGGCGGCAGGCCUAACACAUGCAAGUCGAGCGGAUGAAGGGAGCUUGCUCCUGGAUUCAGCGGCGGACGGGUGAGUAAUGCCUAGGAAUCUGCCUGGUAGUGGGGGAUAACGUCCGAAAACGGGCGCUAAUACCGCAUACGUCCUGAGGGAGAAAGUGGGGGAUCUUCGGACCUCACGCUAUCAGAUGAGCCUAGGUCGGAUUAGCUAGUUGGUGGGGUAAAGGCCUACCAAGGCGGCGAUCCGUAACUGGUCUGAGAGGAUGAUCAGUCACACUGGAACUGAGACACGGUCCAGACUCCUACGGGAGGCAGCAGUGGGGAAUAUUGGACAAUGGGCGAAAGCCUGAUCCAGCCAUGCCGCGUGUGUGAAGAAGGUCUUCGGAUUGUAAAGCACUUUAAGUUGGGAGGAAGGGCAGUAAGUUAAUACCUUGCUGUUUUGACGUUACCAACAGAAUAAGCACCGGCUAACUUCGUG